rnacentral:rRNA from 1 species
AUGUCUCAAUUGGGUUAUAUGAUGUUAGCUCUAGGUAUAGGUUCUUAUCAAGCUGCUUUAUUCCAUUUGAUCACUCAUGCUUAUUCAAAAGCUAUAUUGUUCUUGGGAUCCGGAUCCGUUAUUCAUUCAAUGGAACCUCUUGUUGGAUAUUCACCAGAUAAAAGUCAAAAUAUGGUUCUUAUGGGCGGUUUAAGAAAAUACAUUCCAAUCACAAGAACUACUUUUUUAUGGGGUACACUUUCUCUUUGUGGUAUUCCACCUCUUGCUUGCUUCUGGUCCAAAGAUGGAAUCCUUAGUAAUAGUUGGUUGUAUUCGCCCUUUUUUGGAAUAAUAGCCUCCUUUACUGCAGGAUUAACUGCCUUUUAUAUGUUUCGGAUAUAUUUACUUACAUUUGAUGGGUAUUUGCGUGUUCAUUUUCAAAAUUACAGUAGCACUAAAGAGAGUUCCUUGUAUUCAAUAUCCUUAUGGGGAAAAAGGAUACCCAAAGGAGUGAAUAGGGAUUUCGUUUUAUCAACAACGAAGAGUGGAGUUUCUUUUUUU